CUGAAGUCAUCCUGACAUCACAGAGCACCAGUUGUCCUUUGUCACCUUUCAUCACUUGAUGUAAGGGAGACUUAAUGUGAUGACCAUCUUGCCCUAGUAAACAAAGCACACAAAAUUUCCAGACAUGGAGGAGCUAUAUUUGAAAAAUGCCUCUCUAUGGCCUAAGAUGUCACAAUACUGAAAUUAGGCUGAUUAAUAACCCUGCAAUGACCUCUUAAGUGUUCGAGUAAAAGGAAGAGUCAACUGAUGCAGCAAAUUUCAUUGUCGUCUUUCAAGAAAUUGCCACAACCAUUCCAACCAUCAGCAAUCACUACCCUGAUCAGUCUGUAGCAGUAAACAUCAAGGAAAAGCCUUCCAUCAGCAAAAAGAUUACAAUUCACUGAAGGAUCAGGUGACAGUUUACA